GAAAAAUUUGUUUUGAAUUCUUAACUUCUAUUUUGUUGCCAUCUGUUUCGAUUCUUUCAUGCUGAAAAUUUAAGUUUUCUAUAUUACUGUUAUUACUUAUCAAAGUGUUGACGAAACAUUUUUAUUUUAUUGUAUCUUAUAGAUUAACUGUUUCUUUGCCUGAACCUUAUGGCCAUUAUAGAGUAAUCGGAAAAGUUGAGGUGAGAAGAAAAGAAGAAGAUUGGAUGGACUAUUUUCGUGGUGAUAACUGGCGAGUCCAUCCUGAUUGGGUAUAUUGUGAAAACCCCCAAAAAAAGGAUGAUGGUUAUACAUCUGCUGAAGACAGUAUUAGAACGUUUUGAACUGACUCUCUUGCUAAUCAAAAUUUUAGAUGGAGAACAAGCAGCACCCGUCCCCCAAUAUUUGACAAACCAAUAUGUGAAAAAGAUUUGAUACAAAGUCUGGUGUUUGAUGCUAAAGCAACUUCUGUUGAAUGUGAAAAAAUGAUUUCAAUGGAUGAGUAAGCAAUAAUUUUUUCAUAUUAUUGAUAAAUCAUAAGAAUGAAACAUCCAGUUUUAUUGCAUUAUAUUCUUCAUGAAGAAACAAUUAUAAUAAUUGAUAAAGAAUUUAACGAAAAGAUUAUUCUUUUAUCAGCUUCUUUCAACAUUUUUAAUUUUUGUUUGAAAUGUAUGAUGUUUACAUGGGUUACAAGCAGCCAUUUUCGUUAAAUAACAUACCUCCAAAGAAAUACUUAGCAAAAAUAAAAUUAAGAAGAAUGUUAUAAAUACUAUGUGUUUUUAUUCCAAAAUAAGCCACUUAAUCACAUUGCAAAAGAGUAAAUGCCACCUUCAAAUGAAAAAAACAAGAUUCAUGAAUUAAUUGAACGUUUGUACAGAAAUUUAUAAAUGUUAUGAAUGCAUACAGGUGUGACUCCGAUUUUCGUAUAGGAACACAAUAUACGCUUCAAAAUCUCUAUAAUGAAAAGUGAUCAAUAUUUCACCCUCUUUUUGACUAUAAAGUAGGCCUGACUAUUUAGGGUAAGAAUAAAGUGUCCUUUUUUUGAUUUAUAGAGAUUUAUUGGCAUAAAACUAUUAUAAUAUAACAUCAAACUAAAUAUUAGCUUGAAUUAUUUCCUGGAGAGAAUGUUUACUUCAAAAGCACAUAAUAAUAUUUAACCUCUGUUUUUGAAGUAAUCCUCUUAGAAUUAAGCAAAAAGAUAAAAUUUCAGGUGCUAUAUUGAAAUUAACAGUUCAGUUCGGGCUCUCUGGUGGACAUUACAAUAACAUUACAUCUAUGGAAUCGAAAAGCUUGUGAUACUUCAUAUAUUGGUCGUUAAAAUGGAAGGGUUGUAGUAAUAGAGAGAGUUGUGCUAAUGAGCGUUAAUUGUCUUAAUUUCUACUAGUCAGCAAAACUAAGAAAGUUGAAUGAUAGUUCUGAGCACUAACAUGUUUUAACAAAAUUUUAAGCAAACUUCUUGUCCUGGUAUUAUUUUCAGUAAAUAAACUUCUUGAUUUGGAUUAUUUUAUGCUAUCUAAUUUUUUUAUUUCUGUUACUUCACGUAAUUUUUCAUUUUUCUCUUUUACUAGCUGUAUUCCAAUGAAGUAGUUUUGUUUGUCAAACAUUAUGUUUGAAAUAAUUUUGCAAAAUUUUAUUAUUCUCUUAUGAAUAAGCUUUUUAAAGAAAUAAAAAAAUAAAAACUGAAAUCUGUAAAAUACUUUUUUUUAAAUGUUUAUCAA